rnacentral:lncRNA from 1 species
UGGUUCUUAUGUCUUAGAGUUUACCAACAUGUAUAUAUUUGUGUUUGCAUUGAGCAUAAUGUAGCGAAUACGUCUUUUGUGUGUGUCUCUCUCUGUGAAUAUUGUUAAUGUUUAUAUUGAGUACUCCAUGAGGAAUAGAAAAUAUACAGUAAAAUGAAUGGUUCCACAGAGUAUCUACAAUGGACAUUCCAAAAGUAAAGACAUCAGAAACAAAGAAAGAAGAAAGAAAGAAAGAAAGAAAGAAAGCAAGAAAGAAAGCAAGGAAGGAAGAAAGAAGAAAGAAAGAAAGAAAGAAAGAAAGAAAGAAAGAAAGAAAGAAAGGAAGAAAGGAAGGAAGAAAGAAAAAAGGAAGGAAGGAAGGAAGGAAGGAAGGAAGGAAGACAAAAAAAAAGCAACAAUGAAAAAAUAAACAAAAGCAGACUUUGUUGAACUCAAUUAAAGCCCUUUUUGGUCCUCUAAGGAAAGAAAAUGUGCUGAAAUACAAACAAUAAAAAAAAGUGUCGGGAUUUGACUGGAUUUGUAAAAGGAUGAGAACAUCAUUCAGCCAUCAUCCGAUAAGUUACUUCCUGCAGAAAAUGGGAACAUGCACAACGACCUACAGCCAGAUGUUAAACAGAGGGAGACCUUGGAAUGCAUAUCUAUAAACUGGUAUCUCCAUCAAAUCUGUCUUCUUGCAGCUCAGAACGUCAAAAAAGAGGAGGCAAAAUGGGUGAGGCACAGGAAAGGCCUCUAAAUCAAAGUUCAUAUGAAUUUAUAGAGAUAGUAUAGCAGCAGUCACAGGUCCUACCUGGGUCUUCAACAGGUCGUAUGCAUAUAGACUAUUGCAUAUAUACUUAGGAAAAUUUUGCAUAUCCUGAAUGUGUAAAA